GCAUUGCACUCUUCCAGUGAGAAUGGGAAUCUGGAAAUACCAUAUUAAGAUCAUAUACAAUUUUGAGAUAAACCUUAAGGAAUCACAUCAUCUCCUGAGCUGCAACGUGGAGUUAUCAUCACCAAACAGAACAAGAAUAUGGAUCCUUUUCAUGCUGCUUUGAUUAGAUGGGUGAAAGAGUUUACUAGCUCACACAAUACUCCAAGUCGUAGGUUCAAUCAACAUGAAGACUGAAGAUUUAUUGGCCAGAAUGGGCUGAGGGCACCAGUCCAGAGACAAGUCAUCUCUGUACAUUUCCACAGGUUUAUGGCACAGCCUAAGAAGAUCUCACCCCACAGAGAUGCAUUUGCAAUGUAGAUAUAAUAGAUUAGUAAAGUUAGUAAAUCUUGGGGGCCUAUUUUUUAAAUUGUUACUACUCUCUGUGGUGGAUGAACAGGAAAGGGUUGAAGGGUACAAGAAACCCACUUCCAGGAAAAAGGGAACUUCUGUUAUCUUGAUCUUCAUCAACUCCCUUCCCUCCUCAUGCUUUUCAGACUGCUUGGGAAAUGAAUAGAGCAGUGCCUUCAACAAAGCCCUACUGUACACCUAUAGAAAUUUUACUGCUGACUUCAAACACAGCAGGUGCAGGCCCUGUAUUUCUUAAAUUUUGCAUAGGGUUGUCCACCUUGUCACAAUGUUAGAGAACUAGCUUGUGCAUAUGAGGGAUGGGCCUGCUCUGAAACAACUGAGCCAUAAAAUCCUCUUAAGCGCUCGAGGGAGUGCAUCCUACAUGGCCACCCAGUUCCACGGGCUUGCAGGAAAAGGCCCUACCCACUCUCUCUCUUUCUCACUUCUUUUGGGUUCAGGUGUGUCCCAAGGAAGAAUCCUGUACUUAAAAUAAUUCAGGGACUGCAACUGUGGCCAAUC